ACUGUCCUUUUAAGAGUAUAACAGCCUUGGUCCUCCCAAUUUUAUAGCCAUUGAUCUUGCUUUGAGAUCCGGUCCCGCUGGCAUGGGUUUGUGCAGAGUUAACGGAGCACGCCCGUUAACGGAGAGGGGUAAAUCGCGAAGCUAAGCCAAAAAAAAAAAUCCAUCGCCCAUCUAUGCUCACAGCAAAAAGUAGGGUUUCUAAAGCCUAUCCUCCAUUUUUUGCUCAUUUCCCUCUUCUUCCUCUCCCGGUUUUCCUCUUCCGUCGCGACCAACUUCGCUACUCGGAUUCGGUGCUCGGACAUGCUCUGAAGCCUCUUUCUCCUUCGCCUUCGCUCGGAUCAAACAUUCAAAUUGGUAAUCAAUGGCAUAUUCUAAAAGAGCUUUCUACAACGAUGAAGUUAUUCGGUGCAAUGCGAUGAAAUAGCAGUUUUACGAGUAUCGCAAAAACCAAAAACCAGGGGGAUGCAAUUCUAUGGAUGCCCCAACUACGGCAGUGAAAAAGUGAAUUAUUGUAAUUUCUUCCAAAGGGUCGAUAAAGAAGUAAGGAACAAAGAAUUAUCUGAAGCCUCAAGUUCUAACCUUUUGAAAAUGGAGAGUAGUUCGGUUCCUGAGUCUCAACAUAUGCAUAGCAAAUUGUCAGAUAAAUGGGUAAUCGAACGUAUUAACAAGUUAGAAGCAAAAGUAGCUGAUCAAAUGCAAGUGCUGAAAGAUCAAAUUAAUGCGGAUAGAGCUGAUGUCGAAAGAAAGGCAUACAUCAUAAUUGUUCUUGUGCUAUUGAUAUACAUUAAGUUUCUCUUUGGAUUUUAAAUUCUGUUGGAUGUAAUGGAUGUAAUUGGACUUUAAAGUCUGCAAUUGGAUGUAAUGGAAAUAUUGUAGCUUUAGUUUUGAUUUGUGAUUUUAAAUAUCGACUUUUGGUGUAAUAGAAAAUAUUAGCUUCAAUGAAUGAAAUGCAGUUCUGGUA